AUAGGAGUUCUACUCCUCCAGCCACACAGAAAGAGUCUCUUUCCUGGCAUUUGUCUCUCAAGUGGACUCCUCUGUUCUGCACCACUAUCACUCUGUCCUAGAGCAGCUCAAGGCACUCUAUGAACCAAUUAACCCGGACCGGGAUACACUGCAAGAGUCCUCUUUGACAGACGCCGAACGGUUAAAGAAAGAGCAGGAAGUUUUGGGCAGGUUGGAACCGUUGCUGGACCAGGCCAACUUCAACAGCUUGUCGGAGGAUACGCUGGCAUAUGCCCUGGCGGUCAACCACCCUUAUGACGAAGUCCAGGUGUCUGUGAAUCUGGACCAGUAUGAAUACAUACGAUUCUGGGCUCUCGGACAACGCUUCGGCCCACUGCGUGUGAUGACGACCCUUCAGGCCCAGAGGGGCUUCUUUGGCACAUCUCCUCGGAUUCCU